ACAAGACGGUGGAGUAUGUGGUUAAUUCGAUGCAACGCGAAGAACUUACCUGGUCUUGACAUCCCGGAGACCCUUAGGAAACUAGGGGGUGCUUCCAUCUGGAAGAAUCUGGAGACAGGUGCUGCAUGGCUGUCGUCAGCUCGUGUCGUGAGAUGUUGGGUUAAGUCCCGCAACGAGCGCAACCCUUGCCUUUAGUUGCCAGCAGUUCGGCUGGGCACUCUAAAGGGACUGCCGGUGUUAAACCGGAGGAAGGUGGGGAUGACGUCAAGUCCUCAUGGCCUUUAUGACCAGGGCUACACACGUACUACAAUGGCCGAUACAAAGGGCAGCGACACUGCGAGGUGAAGCCAAUCCCGUAAAAUCGGUCUCAGUCCGGAUUGGAGUCUGCAACUCGACUCCAUGAAGUUGGAGUCGCUAGUAAUCGUGGAUCAGCAUGCCACGGUGAAUACGUUCCCGGGCCUU
rnacentral:rRNA from 1 species